rnacentral:rRNA from 1 species
GAUGAACGCUGGCGGCGUGCCUAAUACAUGCAAGUCGAGCGAACGGACGAGAAGCUUGCUUCUCUGAUGUUAGCGGCGGACGGGUGAGUAACACGUGGAUAACCUACCUAUAAGACUGGGAUAACUUCGGGAAACCGGAGCUAAUACCGGAUAAUAUUUUGAACCGCAUGGUUCAAAAGUGAAAGACGGUCUUGCUGUCACUUAUAGAUGGAUCCGCGCUGCAUUAGCUAGUUGGUAAGGUAACGGCUUACCAAGGCAACGAUGCAUAGCCGACCUGAGAGGGUGAUCGGCCACACUGGAACUGAGACACGGUCCAGACUCCUACGGGAGGCAGCAGUAGGGAAUCUUCCGCAAUGGGCGAAAGCCUGACGGAGCAACGCCGCGUGAGUGAUGAAGGUCUUCGGAUCGUAAAACUCUGUUAUUAGGGAAGAACAUAUGUGUAAGUAACUGUGCACAUCUUGACGGUACCUAAUCAGAAAGCCACGGCUAACUACGUGCCAGCAGCCGCGGUAAUACGUAGGUGGCAAGCGUUAUCCGGAAUUAUUGGGCGUAAAGCGCGCGUAGGCGGUUUUUUAAGUCUGAUGUGAAAGCCCACGGCUCAACCGUGGAGGGUCAUUGGAAACUGGAAAACUUGAGUGCAGAAGAGGAAAGUGGAAUUCCAUGUGUAGCGGUGAAAUGCGCAGAGAUAUGGAGGAACACCAGUGGCGAAGGCGACUUUCUGGUCUGUAACUGACGCUGAUGUGCGAAAGCGUGGGGAUCAAACAGGAUUAGAUACCCUGGUAGUCCACGCCGUAAACGAUGAGUGCUAAGUGUUAGGGGGUUUCCGCCCCUUAGUGCUGCAGCUAACGCAUUAAGCACUCCGCCUGGGGAGUACGACCGCAAGGUUGAAACUCAAAGGAAUUGACGGGGACCCGCACAAGCGGUGGAGCAUGUGGUUUAAUUCGAAGCAACGCGAAGAACCUUACCAAAUCUUGACAUCCUUUGACAACUCUAGAGAUAGAGCUUUCCCCUUCGGGGGACAAAGUGACAGGUGGUGCAUGGUUGUCGUCAGCUCGUGUCGUGAGAUGUUGGGUUAAGUCCCGCAACGAGCGCAACCCUUAAGCUUAGUUGCCAUCAUUAAGUUGGGCACUCUAAGUUGACUGCCGGUGACAAACCGGAGGAAGGUGGGGAUGACGUCAAAUCAUCAUGCCCCUUAUGAUUUGGGCUACACACGUGCUACAAUGGACAAUACAAAGGGCAGCGAAACCGCGAGGUCAAGCAAAUCCCAUAAAGUUGUUCUCAGUUCGGAUUGUAGUCUGCAACUCGACUACAUGAAGCUGGAAUCGCUAGUAAUCGUAGAUCAGCAUGCUACGGUGAAUACGUAUCCCGGGUCU